rnacentral:tRNA from 1 species
GGUAGUGGCUCAGUGGUAGAGAACUUGCCUAGCACGUGUGAGGCCCUGGGUUCGAUCCUCAGUACCA